ACACAUGCAAGUCGAACGGAAGUUAGAGCUUCGGUUUUAACUUUAGUGGCGAACGGGUGAGUAACGCGUGAGGAACCUGCCUUUCAGUGGGGGACAACAGUUGGAAACGACUGCUAAUACCGCAUGACACUUUUGGGAGACAUCUCCUGGAAGUCAAAGCUUUAAGUGCUGAAAGAUGGCCUCGCGUCUGAUUAGCUAGUUGGUGAGGUAACGGCUCACCAAGGCGACGAUCAGUAGCCGGUCUGAGAGGAUGAACGGCCACAUUGGGACUGAGAUACGGCCCAGACUCCUACGGGAGGCAGCAGUGGGGAAUAUUGGGCAAUGGGGGAAACCCUGACCCAGCAACGCCGCGUGAAGGAAGAAGGCCUUCGGGUUGUAAACUUCUUUUACCAGGGACGAAGGACGUGACGGUACCUGGAGAAAAAGCAACGGCUAACUACGUGCCAGCAGCCGCGGUAAUACGUAGGUUGCAAGCGUUGUCCGGAUUUACUGGGUGUAAAGGGCGUGUAGGCGGAGAUGCAAGUUGGGAGUGAAAUCCAUGGGCUCAACCCAUGAACUGCUCUCAAAACUGUAUCCCUUGAGUAUCGGAGAGGCAAGCGGAAUUCCUAGUGUAGCGGUGAAAUGCGUAGAUAUUAGGAGGAACACCAGUGGCGAAGGCGGCUUGCUGGACGACAACUGACGCUGAGGCGCGAAAGCGUGGGGAGCAAACAGGAUUAGAUACCCUGGUAGUCCACGCUGUAAACGAUGAAUACUAGGUGUGGGAGGACUGACCCCUUCCGUGCCGCAGUUAACACAAUAAGUAUUCCACCUGGGG
rnacentral:rRNA from 1 species